UCGGGAGAAUCGCGGGGGGUUGGGAAAGAGGAAGGCAGCGUCGCUCAAUUCACUUCAUUCUCACCUCCUCCGUCCGGAACAAUAAAAAAAAAUCGGGUUUCAUACCGAAGUGGAUUAUUUGCUAACGGCGUUCAAAUGAUUUCCGCGAAGGAACGGUUUCAAACCGUCGGGCCUACGUCCCACAGAUUUGUGCAACCUCUCAGCCCUGAGUCAGCUUUCUGCAGUUUGUUGUUCAGCAUAUUUCCCCCCCCCCCCCUUCCCUUCCCUUACAAAUAUAUUAUCUCUGACCUUGACAUUAUUGGAGGGCUGAGGUUGGAUGUUGACCGAACUCCACACAAAAAAAAGGGAGGGGGGUGAGGUUUUGAGGGGCGGCUGGCAAGGUGUUGGGGAAUUGAGUAUAGAGAGAGACAGAGAGAGAGUGUGUGGGAUGUUGGCAUUGCAUUCAAAGGAAUACAUAUUACAUAUAAACUAAAAUGAGCUGGGGUCUGUGAACGUGGUCUCUUUCCCCCUUCCCCGACCCUGUUGCCAAGUGCAAGGCUCUCGCUGCCGUCGAGGGGAGGAGCCAGGCGAUAUAAGAAAGCAAUUCAGCAAAGACACAGAGACACACAAAAACAGUGAAGGUGGAAUCUCGUUCCAACUCGGGGAGCCAGAGCAGGUUGCUAACCGGACAGAGAGAGAGAGAAAG